GAGAAUUAAAUAUUGUAACUUUUUCCCAAAAGGAAAAUAAAACACCAUAAUCUCCUGUCGCACAGAGCGAAGGUGCAAGUUUGGGCACUUGUCUAUAUAUAAGGAUUGUGCAUUAAUACAUAUAGUAUAUUUGUAAUUGAAUGUUUUAUUGUUCUUUAGGAAUCUGGAAGCAUCUUAGAAAGUGCCACUCAGAAUGUUCCAAAGCAAGAGAGAUUCAUACUGGUGCAAGAAGCCAGGAAAUCUCAAACUGUGUCACUUGAUACCUGUAUUGCUACAGAAAGAACAGAACCUAGAGUUAAACAUGUCAAAUUCAUAUUUGUGAAAGAAGCCAAGAAAUCUGAAGAAAAAAAAGAGAGUUCUGACAGUGAAACUGAAAGUGAUGAUCUUGAAAAUUCCACAGAACCUAGAGUCAAACAGGUCAAAUUCACAUUUGUGGAAGACGCCGAGAAAUCUGAAGAAAAAGAAGAGAGUUCUGACAGUGAAACUGAAAGUGAUGAUCUUGAAAAUUCCACA